GAUGAACGCUGGCGGCGUGCCUAACACAUGCAAGUCGAGCGCGAUUAGUUGGACUGGAGACUUCGGUCAAAGGGAAGACUAUGAAAGCGGCGGACGGGUGAGUAACGCGUGAGCAACCUGCCCUGUACAGGGGGAUAGCCACUGGAAACGGUGAUUAAUACCCCAUAAACCCAAAGGAUCGCAUGAUCCAAUGGGCAAAGUUCCAACGGUACAGGAUGGGCUCGCGUCUGAUUAGCUAGUUGGUGAGGUAAUGGCUCACCAAGGCGACGAUCAGUAGCCGACCUGAGAGGGUGAACGGCCACACUGGAACUGAGACACGGUCCAGACUCCUACGGGAGGCAG
rnacentral:rRNA from 1 species